GAUGAACGCUGGCGGCGUGCCUAAUACAUGCAAGUCGAGCGAAUGGAUUAAGAGCUUGCUCUUAUGAAGUUAGCGGCGGACGGGUGAGUAACACGUGGGCAACCUGCCCAUAAGACUGGGAUAACUCCGGGAAACCGGGGCUAAUACCGGAUAAUAUUUUGAACUGCAUGGUUCAAAAUUGAAAGGCGGCUUCGGCUGUCACUUAUGGAUGGACCCGGGUCGCAUUAGCUAGUUGGUGAGGUCACGGCUCACCAAGGCAACGAUGCGUAGCCGACCGGAGAGGGUGAUCGGCCACACUGGGACUGAGACACGGCCCAGACUCCUACGGGAGGCAGCAGUAGGGAAUCUUCCGCAAUGGACGAAAGUCUGACGGAGCAACGCCGCGUGAGUGAUGAAGGCUUUCGGGUCGUAAAACUCUGUUGUUAGGGAAGAACAAGUGCUAGUUGAAUAAGCUGGCACCUUGACGGUACCUAACCAGAAAGCCACGGCUAACUACGUGCCAGCCGCCGCCGUAA
rnacentral:rRNA from 1 species